rnacentral:tRNA from 13 species
UGCCUCCAGUGAGAAUUGAACUCACGACCCCUGGUUUACGAGACCAGUACUCAUACCACUGAGCUAUGGCGGC